GCCCUGAUGUGGGGGAUAACCAUUGGAAACGAUGGCUAAUACCGCAUAGUAGCUUCGGCUUAAAGAGGGGGACCUUCGGGCCUCUCGCGUCAGGAUAUGCCCAGGUGGGAUUAGCUAGUUGGUGAGGUAAAGGCUCACCAAGGCGACGAUCCCUAGCUGGUCUGAGAGGAUGAUCAGCCACACUGGAACUGAGACACGGUCCAGACUCCUACGGGAGGCAGCAGUGGGGAAUAUUGCACAAUGGGCGCAAGCCUGAUGCAGCCAUGCCGCGUGUGUGAAGAAGGCCUUCGGGUUGUAAAGCACUUUCAGUCGUGAGGAAGGGUGUGUAUUUAAUAGAUGCGCACUUUGACGUUAGCGACAGAAGAAGCACCGGCUAACUCCGUGCCAGCAGCCGCGGUAAUACGGAGGGUGCGAGCGUUAAUCGGAAUUACUGGGCGUAAAGCGCAUGCAGGUGGUUCGUUAAGUCAGAUGUGAAAGCCCGGGGCUCAACCUCGGAAUAGCAUUUGAAACUGGCGAACUAGAGUACUGUAGAGGGGGGUAGAAUUUCAGGUGUAGCGGUGAAAUGCGUAGAGAUCUGAAGGAAUACCAGUGGCGAAGGCGGCCCCCUGGACAGAUACUGACACUCAGAUGCGAAAGCGUGGGGAGCAAACAGGAUUAGAUACCCUGGUAGUCCACGCCGUAAACGAUGUCUACUUGGAGGUUGUGGCCUUGAGCCGUGGCUUUCGGAGCUAACGCGUUAAGUAGACCGCCUGGGGAGUACGGUCGCAAGAUUAAAACUCAAAUGAAUUGACGGGGGCCCGCACAAGCGGUGGAGCAUGUGGUUUAAUUCGAUGCAACGCGAAGAACCUUACCUACUCUUGACUUCUACAGAAGCCAGCGGAAGACGCAGGUGUGCCUUCGGGAACUGUAAAACAGGGGCUGCAUGGCUGUCGCCAGCUCGGGUUGGGAAAGGUGGGGUAAGUCCCCCACGAACGCAACCUUAACCUUGUUUGCAACCAGUAAAGGCCGGGAC
rnacentral:rRNA from 1 species